AAACCAACAGGGAUUCCCCUAGUAACGGCGAGUGAAGCGGGAACAGCUCAAAUUUGAAAUCUGGCCCUCGGGUCCGAGUUGUAAUUUGUAGAGGAUGCUUUUGGUGCGGUGCCUUCCGAGUUCCCUGGAACGGGACGCCUUAGAGGGUGAGAGCCCCGUACGGUUGGACGCCUAGCCUCUGUAAAGCUCCUUCGACGAGUCGAGUAGUUUGGGAAUGCUGCUCUAAAUGGGAGGUAUAUUUCUUCUAAAGCUAAAUACUGGCCAGAGACCGAUAGCGCACAAGUAGAGUGAUCGAAAGAUGAAAAGCACUUUGAAAAGAGGGUUAAAUAGCACGUGAAAUUGUUGAAAGGGAAGCGUUUAUCACCAGACUUUUUCUGGGGGGAUCAUCCGGUGUUCUCACCGGUGCACUUCCCCCAGUUGAGGCCAGCAUCGGUUUUCGGAGGGGGAUAAAAGCUUCGGGAAUGUGACUCCCUCGGGAGUGUUAUAGCCCGUUGCAUAAUACCCUUCUGGGGACCGAGGUUCGCGCAUCUGCAAGGAUGCUGGCAUAAUGGUGAUCAACGAC
rnacentral:rRNA from 2 species